rnacentral:rRNA from 1 species
ACGAACGCUGGCGGCGUGCUUAACACAUGCAAGUCGAACGGUAAGGCCCUUUCGGGGGUACACGAGUGGCGAACGGGUGAGUAACACGUGGGUAAUCUGCCCUGCACUUCGGGAUAAGCCUGGGAAACUGGGUCUAAUACCGGAUAUGAGCUCCUGCCGCAUGGUGGGGGUUGGAAAGUUUUUCGGUGCAGGAUGAGUCCGCGGCCUAUCAGCUUGUUGGUGGGGUAAUGGCCUACCAAGGCGACGACGGGUAGCCGGCCUGAGAGGGUGAUCGGCCACACUGGGACUGAGACACUGCCCAGACUCCUACGGGAGGCAGCAGUGGGGAAUAUUGCACAAUGGGCGAAAGCCUGAUGCAGCGACGCCGCGUGGGGGAUGACGGUCUUCGGCUUGUAAACUCCUUUCAGUAGGGACGAAGCGAAAGUGACGGUACCUGCAGAAGAAGCACCGGCCAACUACGU